AUUGAACGCUGGCGGCAUGCUUUACACAUGCAAGUCGAACGGUAACAGGCCGCAAGGUGCUGACGAGUGGCGAACGGGUGAGUAAUGCAUCGGAACGUGCCCAGUCGUGGGGGAUAACGCAGCGAAAGCUGCGCUAAUACCGCAUACGAUCUAUGGAUGAAAGCGGGGGACCGUAAGGCCUCGCGCGAUGGGAGCGGCCGAUGUCAGAUUAGGUAGUUGGUGGGGUAAAGGCUCACCAAGCCAACGAGCUGUAGCUGGUCUGAGAGGACGACCAGCCAAACUGGGACUGAGACCAGGCCCAGAAUCCUACGGGAGGCAGCAGUGGGGAAUUUUGGACAAUGGGCGCAAGCCUGAUCCAGCAAUGCAGCGUGCAGGAAGAAGGCCUUCGGGUUGUAAACUGCUUUUGUACGGAGCGAAACGGCUCUCUCUAAUACAGGGAGCUAAUGACGGUACCGUAAGAAUAAGCACCGGCUAACUACGUGCCAGCCGCCGCAGUAAGAC
rnacentral:rRNA from 1 species